GAAAUGCGAUAAGUAAUGUGAAUUGCAGAAUUCAGUGAAUCAUCGAGUCUUUGAACGCACAUUGCGCCCCCUGGUAUUCCGGGGGGCAUGCCUGUCCGAGCGUCAUUGCUGCCCUCCAGCCCGGCUGGUGUGUUGGGCCGCCGUCCCCCCCGGGGGACGGGCCCGAAAGGCAGUGGCGGCGCCGCGUCCGGUCCCCGAGCGUAUGGGGCUCUGUCACCCGCUCCGUGGGCACCGGCCGGCUGCCGGCCUCGACCAUCUUCCUUUUUUUCCAAGGUUGACCUCGGAUCAGGUAGGGAUACCCGCUGAACUUAAGC
rnacentral:misc_RNA from 1 species